rnacentral:rRNA from 1 species
GUGCCAGCCGCUGCGGUAAUACGUAGGUGGCAAGCGUUGUCCGGAUUUAUUGGGCGUAAAGCGAGCGCAGGCGGUUUCUUAAGUCUGAUGUGAAAGCCCCCGGCUCAACCGGGGAGGGUCAUUGGAAACUGGGAGACUUGAGUGCAGAAGAGGAGAGUGGAAUUCCAUGUGUAGCGGUGAAAUGCGUAGAUAUAUGGAGGAACACCAGUGGCGAAGGCGGCUCUCUGGUCUGUAACUGACGCUGAGGCUCGAAAGCGUGGGGAGCGAACAGGAUUAGAUACCCUGGUAGUCCACGCCGUAAACGAUGAGUGCUAAGUGUUGGAGGGUUUCCGCCGUUCAGUGCUGCAGCAAACGCAUUAAGCACUCCGCCUGGGGAGUACGACCGCAAGGUUGAAACUCAAAGGAAUUGACGGGGCCGCACAAGCGGUGGAGCAUGUGGUUUAAUUCGAAGCAACGCGAAGGAACCUUACCA